GCCGGGUUGGCCCAACGGGGAGAGGCGACGGAUUUAAAAUCCGUGAGUUGCGGGUUCGAGUCCCGCACCCGGCA
rnacentral:tRNA from 1 species